rnacentral:lncRNA from 1 species
CCCCAACAUGUAAAUCUGGAGGGAUGCAAUUCAACACGUAAUAUUCCCUAACACAAUAUUUCCAUAACAGUCUGUAGCGUCUUCUUCAGGCUAAGGGAUUGGGGCCUCAUCUAUCAGAGUUGUAAUAAGGAACAAAGGUUGUUGAAGAAUUGAAUAUAUUACUCCAGCUAUCGUCAACAAACAUGCUUCAACAACAGGAUCCUCACUGUUUGGAAGACAGCCCCUGAGACCCAGAGCAAAUGGGUCAAAGUCUCAGUUACAUCAGUAUAACUACAAAGACAAUAAUUCUUACCUCUCUCACAGGAUCCAGUGAAAAAGGAAUUCCAGAAAAGGACUGACUGCUGACAAGAUUGGUUCUUGGCUGGCAUCUGGGAACUUACAUUUCAGGAGGGUUUCUGCUGUUAACUGAUAAGCACCAUUCACCGAGCCAAAAGUAUCUGUGAAAAGAAUUGGUUUUUGUUGAACUCCUGCUUUCCUGCUGGGAAUCUGAAAUUGCAUACAUGCCAGACACAGAGGGGAUAUAUAUUAGUCCACUCUCAUGCUGCUAAUAAAGACAUAUCCCAGACCAGGUAAUUUAUAAAGGAAAGAGGUUUAAUUGACUCACAGUUCGGCAUGGCUGGGGAGGCCUCACAAUCAUGGUGGAAGGCAAAGAAAGAGCAAAGGAAUGUCUUAAAUGGUGGCAGGAAAGAGUGUAUGCAAGGGAUCUGCUCUUUAUAAAACCAUCAGAUCUCAUGAGACUUAUUCACUGUCACAAGAACAGCAUGGGAGAACCUGCCCCCAUGAUUCAAUUACUUCCCACUAAGUCCCUUCCAUGACACAUUGGGGAAUGUGGGAGCUGAAAUUCAAGAUGAGAUUUGGGUGGGGACACAGCCAAACCAUAUGAUUCUGUUCCUGGCCCCUCCCAAAUCUUAUGCCCUCACAUUUCGAAACCAAUCAUGCCUUCCCAGCAGUCCUCCAAAGUCUUAACUCAUUUCAACAUUAACUCAAAAGUCCGCAGUCCAAAGUCUCAUCUAAGACAAGUCAAGUCCCUUCCAACUAUGAGCCUGUAAAAUCAAAAACAAGUUAUUUACUUCCUACAUACAAUGGGGAUACAAGCAUUGGGUAAAUAUGCCCAUGCUAAAUGGGAGAAAUUGGCAAAAACAAAGGAGCUACAGGCCCCAUGCAAGUGUGAAAUCCAGCAGGGCAGUCAAAUCUCAAAGCUCCAAAAUGAUCUCCUUUGACUCCAUGUCUCACAUCCAGGUCAUUCUGAUGCAAGAAGUGGGCUCCAAGGCCUUGGGGAGCUCCACUCCUGUGGCUUAAUAGGGUAUAGACCCCCUACUGGCUGCUUUCACAGGCUGGCAUUGUUUGCAGCUUUUCCAGGUGCAUGGUGCAAGCUGUUGGUGGAUCUACCAUUCUGGGGUUUGGAAGAUGGAGGUCUCUUCUCACAGCUCCACUAGGCAGUGCUCCAGUGGGGACUCUGUGUAGGGGCUCUAACCCCACAUUUCCCUUCCACACUGCUCUAG